ensembl:lncRNA
UUUUUGAGGGGGAGAGUGAAAUGCUGGUCUAACAUUGAUGUUAUAAAAUCCUGGGAAAUACAUAAAGUCUAAGAACCAUAGCAAUUAGAGAUGGAGAAAGCCCAUUAUAUCAUCCCUCAGGCCCAGGGGAAUCAGUGGAGAGUCUGUCCUAGGAUAGAUUUUCUAGUUCUUUAGUCUGUUGACUUUCAAACAACUCCUGGGAUGGGGUUUCCACCACUUCCUUUAUUACAUGUUUCCCCAAUCUCAUAAUUUUUGCUGUCAUAAUUCUUCAGGAUGCUGAGUCUAAAUCCUCCUUUUCUGAAAAUUACAACUGCUCUCUUUACUCAAAGUUGUGUCCACUUGUUGGGAUGAACACUUCACUCUUUUGAAGCUGCAAGCAUUUUCCUUUUUUUUUUUUUUUUUAAGCAGGAUUCUCUGAUUCUCUCUUCUCUACAAACCACUGUAGCGCAGGUGGGGCAGGGAACGUGUUCAAGGAAUCUUGGCAAAUGGAGUUUUAGCCUGUUUUGAGCUUUGAUGUUUCAGAAUUCCAUCACCAGAGCUCCUCUGGAUGCUUCAGGGAGUACGGUGCCAGGCUGAGAUUUCUUAGUGCCACACGCGAGUGUGCAGUUCACACUAGCAUCCCUAGCAUGAACCUCAACAAACGUACGUCGUCCUACAUCGGGUAGCUUAUCCCUUCUCCAGGAAAUCUUUCCCACCCAGGAAUUGAACUGGGAUCUCCUGCAUUGCAGGUGAGUUAUUUAUCAGCUGAUCUAUCAGGGAAGCCCAUACCUAUAUCCCCCCUCUUUUUUUUCAGAUUCUUUUCCUGUAUAGGUCAUUACAGAGUACUGAGUAGAGUUCCCUGUGCUAUACAGUAGGUCCUUUUUAGUUAUCUGUUUUGUAAUAGCAGUGUGUAGAUGUCAAUCCCCACUUCCCAAUUUAUCCCUCCUCACCCCCUUUUCCUCUUGGGAACCAUAAGUUUAUUUUCUAUAUGUGUGACCCUAUUUCCGUUUCAUAAAUAAGUUCACUUGUACCAUUUAAAAAAAUAUUCCACAGAUAAAUGAUAUCAUAUGAUAUCUGUCUUUUUCUGUCUGACUGUUUCUGAUGCCCCACGUCCUGUGCCUUUGAGAGUGUCUUUCCCCUCCUCUGGUACUCAAGUUUCUUAAAGUCUGAAACAGAGAAGUUUGGCAGAUAAGAGGUGGCAAGGGAAUUUCCACGGAAUGACUUUUCCUGCUGGGUUUACUCUUUUUAAAUUGUAUUUAUUUUAUCUCUGGUUGUGUUGGGUCUUCGUUGCUGCAUGCGGGCUUUCUCUAGUUGUGGCCGGCUGAGUUUCCUCUCUAGUUGAGGUGCACAGGUGUCUCUGGUUGAGGAGCACAGGCUUUAGAGCACUCAGGUUUCAGUAGCUGCGGUGCACAGGCUUAAUGGCCGCAUGAUAUCUGGAAUCUUCCUGAACCAGGGAUGGAUCCUGUGGUCCCCCGCACUGGCAGGCCUGUUUCACUUCCAAGAAUCCACUCCGUGAUGGAAACGGUGGGGGUUCAGAAGAUCCAAUGCUGGGAGAGACUCCGAGGGAAAUUCAAGGUUUGGUGCUUGGAAAGUCACAGACCUUCACGGCACAGGGAUUGAAAGAUCGUUCCUUGCUUCCAGCUAGAAUGCAAGCUCAAGAGGAAUUUUAUCUUGCUCAUCAGUCUAUCCCAAAACCUAGAAAGGCAUCUGCCCCAAAAGAAGUGCUCAACAAGUGUUUGUAGAAUGAAUAAACAAUUACCUUCAGCUAUCAAUUUGUACUUUUGAGACAGGGUGGGACCUGGGGCCCAUUACUGCAGUGCUUGCACCUGGACGAACGUCUCCUCAAGAAACAAAAUACAAAGAAAACUAUAACGUAUUAAAAUAAUUGCAUGUGUGCCCAUUUGGGAAAAAUUAUGGACAAUAAAUUACUAUGAAAAGACCAAAGACCCUGAGGAGGAGCUGGGAGCAAAAGCAGGGUACUGCAUACUGCACUUGUAUGCUGCACACAGCAGACCACCUAAACCACCCCUCUGACCUGAUCCUGGGCGCACCCCUAUCCUUACUCCAUUUAAGAAACCAGCUCACCCCCUCUUGGAGAGCUAGGAAGCAAAGGAACCUGUUACUUGUUCUUGUUCCCCCCUGCUGCCACAGGGUCCCCAAUAAAGCCUAGCCUAAAUUUCUUGUUUGGCUUCUCAUCAAUUUCUAUUGAUUCUUAAGAGGCCAAGAGGGGCUUCCCUGGUGGCUCAGCAGUAAAGAAUCUGCCUGCAGUGCAGGAGACAUGGGUUCAAAAUGGUAACCCACUCCAGGAUUCUUGCCUGGGAAUCUCCAUGGGUAGAGGAGACUGGUAGACUGCUGUCCAUGGCGUCACAAAGAGUCAGACAUGACUUAACGACCAAACAGCGGAAAUGAGAGGGCAAGAACCCUGGUUGGUAACAGUUUGAUAAGGAUAAUUGGUACUUAAUUUUAUGUAAAGCACAUUGCAAAAUGGAGUUUCAAGACAGUUAUGAAAGCCACACUCACUCUCCAAUUUACCUUUUAAAUUGGAUUUUGACCUAAAGAUACUCUUACAGAGAAAUUUAAAGCCACCACUAUCGAAGGCCAUUUGGUCCAACUGAUGCGUGGAUCCCCUUCUUGGCCAUCCUGCCAGUUACCCUUCAGCCUUUGCUUGAAUACCUCUAGGAACAGAGGCUCAUUUUUUUCAAGAGCAGUCUUCUUGUGCAGCUCUGACUGUCAGAAUGCUCUUGCUUGAAUUUAACUAAUUUUUUUUUUUUUUCUCUAGUCUUGGUUGUUGCUGCUGCUAAGUCGCUUCAGUCGUGUCCGACUCUGUGCGACCCCAUAGACGGCAGCCCACCAGGCUCCCCCGUCCCUGGGAUUCUCCAGGCAAGAACACUGGAGUGGGUUGCCAUUUCCUUCUCCAAUGCAUGAAAGUGAAAAGUGAAAGUGAAGUCACUCAGUCGUGUCCGACUCCUAGUGACCCCAUGGACUGCAGCCCACCAGGACUCUCCGUCCAUGGGAUUUUCCAGAAACAUACCACAGAUUCUCCAACUCAGGAGUCGCAGGUAUUCACCUUGAGGACCCACCUGUGAACAGCAGGAAUGGCCCUGCUGGGCGUCUGUUUAUGGGAAGGACUGAAGAGCGUUAUAGGGAAACUGUUUUUCCAGAGCACAGAGUGCCUCAUUCCUGAUCUCCACCCUGAACUCCCUUCAGGGGGUGUUGAAGGUCGGUAGCUACAGCAGCACGUAAUUUAA